CAAUUUUUAACAGAACUAAUGGACGCACAAUUAUGAUACUUACAUAUUUAGAACCCGCAAACGGUACAUAAUUUAUUAGUAAAGUUCAAACCAGUGAAUUAUUUUUGCCCGGCGCCAAAUUUAUACGACUUAUCUCUUUUGGAUAUCCCUUAUCUAUGAUCAUUACCAUAGAUCACUGCAUAUGACCCGUGGAAUGACCAGAAAGUGAGACUAUGGCCUGGAAAUAAUAAAAUAUCCAAAGGGACCUUAUUUAGUCUUAACUCCCGGUGGUGAAGAUACUUAUAAUGUAAAUUAGCGAAACAUUUGUCCGCAGUUUUUUAAAUAGUGGGGUUAAGUUCUUUUGAUUAUCUUAUUUGUUAAUAAAAAUUAAAUUGUUUAACUAUUUAUACUAAAAUUUGCAACAACUUACAUAAGUGAUAUGCAUCUGACGCAAAAAUAUUCUUGCAAAUUCCUCCGCAUAACACAGACAGAGAUUGUUAAAAGUUUAAUUUUGAUCGUAGUCUCUCACUUCUUUUUAAGUAUCUAUCCAUCUAAUAAAAUUAUUCAAAUUUUACAAUCUUAAGGUAGUAAAAUAGUAAAAUCAAAAUUAUAUACAUUUCCCUCGAGUUCAGUAAAGAAUCUAUUUAUUUUUCAUUUGUGUUCAUUAGUUUCUUUCACAUAUGACGUUAACAACGUCAUAAACACUCGAAUUAUAAAAUGAAACUAUGCCAAAAUUGUGAUGAAGGCUCCACGUCCUUAAUAUUUUUAAUGGCUCACAGGCCUAGCCAAUUAUGAUAAAACGUCAAUGAUAUAACCGAUAUCUGUAGUUAUGGUAGGGAACCAGUGUGGAACAUUUUUCGUGAAAAAGGUGUUUAUAGUAUAUCAGGCAAUUAUUGCUGUUUUGGGGCUUCUUCCUAUCCAUGCCUAUAGUGGUCAUAGUAUCCAGACUCAACUUUGGUGAUACGAACGAUUAUAUGGUGCAAAAUAGGACUUUGACCAGUAUGGAUACAAACAAAUGGAAUCAUUAGGAAAAUUGCACAAUCUUUGGACAUCAUGUGUAGUUGGUCUGUGAUAGUAGCAGUCUGUAUUUCCUUCCAGUAUGGAGUAUUAUCCUUUUAUUCAAUGAAAUCAAAAACAACAAGGAUUGGCUAAUAAAUUGGGAUGUUAAUUUUAACCCUAACGAUGACGAUAUGGAUUGUCUGCAUUGGUAUCCUCUCUGAAUUUGGUUUACAUUCCACACAUGUAAACGUUGGAACGUUACUUUCUACAGUUAAUUCAGUUUUUAAUGCAGCAAAUUAUACUACAGGACUUUAUACAAACUCUGGAUACCAUUUAUUGUGGAGCAUUGAUUGUAGAAGUUCACCUUUUCUCCAGAAAGCAGCAAUACAUCAAACAACUGUAAAAGUGUCUUUUUACCAUCACACUUGUUCAUUUGUGACAAUGAAUUGUCAAUUAUUAUGAGCGCACACACAAUCAAGAGGUCAAAAUAUGAUUCUUUACAUAAUGCCUCUUGAUGAUGUUAGAUAGUUAAAUGGUCCAUACACGUCAUUAACGAGGGUUGAAGUUUAUCGUAGGAACAUAAAUACUCCAUAUUUAAUGUGUUAUGAAACAUUGGUUGUAUCAGUACUCUUUUACUCUGGAAUGUAUACCUGAAGUAUUGAGAAAGGCGUGAAGGUGCGUUUUUUCCGUUGGGAACGAAGACAGUGUGCGGUAGCAGAAGGAAGGAUUUAUGACAUUGAACUGGAAUUCUGAUAGAGAAAGACGAUGAUACUUAAAUAUGCAUACAAAAACCUGUUAUUUUUAUUUAGAAAAUUGUGAUGAGAGUAUGAAAAUGUAAUGAAGCAGUGAUAGUCAAGGAGAUAGAUGCUUCUUAAACAAAGAAACAAUUGAUUAAGAAUAAAAGCAUCUCAAGUUUCAAGUUUGCCAAUGUAAAUCUGAACUACAAAAAGGAGUAUAAAGACCAGGAUAAAAGAAUACAAAAGCCUAUGUUGCCUAGGACACAGAAAAAUUAUCAGUAACAAAAGAGGAAAAAAAAGUAACAGAAGAUCAACACUUAAUACGUUCAUGUUUUGGCAAAGAACAACCAUUACCAUUCCCGCUUGUACAGAGAAGCCAUUGAAAUAUAUAAACACAAGAAUAAUUUCAAUAAAAAAGGAAGAGGGCACCUUUCAGAACGAUAUAAAUACGAGCACGCUUGUCACCGUUUCGCAUCAGAGAAGACUUCGACAUCGCCCUUGAAAAUGUCCACCACAGUUGUGAAUGAAACGUCGAGAAAACAACCCAACAGACCACGGCCCAUCAGCCGGGACAACAACUCACCUAUAUUCGACACCGGUCGUGAAAACGUACAAUCAACAAUACCUUCAAUUUGUUAGGCAUUUGUAACUUGCUUCAAUAGACAACUUUUAAGAAACGUUUUAGAAAUGGCAAAAGCAAAUUUAAUGUGGAACGGAUCUUUCCAUGAGUAUUGUCUCACAAAUGAGAAGGAAUUGCAGUCAAUUUUGAUGCUACUGAAACAAGCGAUGCUUUUGACGUGUUAACAUUAUGCCGUUAAUUUUUCCUGUAACUAUGGGAGGCAAUCGGGAGUUAAUUUGGAAGCAACUGAAACAAUCAACUGUCUAUAGUUGUUUCCCUCCUAGAUUUGGUUUGCUCAUCACACUGGUAGAGUUUAGAACGUUACCUACUACAAUUAAUUAAGAUUUUCCAGCAAAUGAGGGUGAUAUAACUUCAGUAUGGUCGUAUUGAAACAGUUGAUGUCUACAUGGGUGUUGUUUUUCGUGGACUGUACUCUUGAUUUCCUGUUUUCGUUUUCGCCUUCCAACAUCAUACAGUGAAUUUUUAACCCACGAGUGAGAGCAACUGGAUAUUUGAAUUCCAAUGAAACAACAAAUUGUCUGCAGGGAUAUCCCUUCCAGAUUUGGUUUGCUCAGCACACUGGUAGACUUUAGAACGCUACCUUCUACAAUUAAUUAAGGUUAUACAACAAAUGAGAGAGAAUUAAUGUUCAGUUUGGUCAUACUAAAUCAGCCAAUGUCUACAUAGGUGUGGUCUUUCGUGGAUUAUAUUCCUGAUUAGCUGUUUCGUCUUCACCUUCUAUCAUCAUGCAGUUAAUUUUCAACCCAUGGGUGAAAGCAACUGGAUAUUUAUUUGAAUUCCACUAAAAUAACAACUUAUCUGCUAUGGUGUUCCUCCUGGAGUUAGUUUGCUUUUCACACCUGUAAGCUUUAGAACGUUACGUUCUACAAUUAAUUAAGGUGAGAAUACUUCAUAUAAUAAUUUUAAUUGCUCUUUAUUAAUCUGUUUGCCAACGUAUCUUUUUCAGAUCGAUGUUGGAGAAGACAAAGAUGACCCCGUAGUUGAAAUAGUUCUUUAUCUUGCAUGCUCUAUCUAGUAGAAU